GCCUGGCUGGCUAAGUUGGUAGAGCAUGUGACUCUUGAUCGUGGGGUCAUGAGUUCAAGCCCCAUGUUGAGCA
rnacentral:tRNA from 1 species